GCCUUCGUAGUGUAGUGGUUAGCACGCUCGACGCGUAUUCGAGAAGUCCGAGGUUCGAGUCCCGGCAAGGGCA
rnacentral:tRNA from 1 species